GCUGGCUUAGUAUAUAUUGUAGUACAUGAGAUUGUAAAUCUCAGGGAAAUAUUUUUAGUCAGAA
rnacentral:tRNA from 1 species